GAGACACCCCUCCAGGGCAAGACUUGCUUCAAUGGGGCUUUGGUGCUCAUUGAGUCUGCCCCCUGAAUGUGUCCUU
rnacentral:pre_miRNA from 1 species